AUGAUGAUAAAAAGUUAAUAAUUUAUGGUUAGAACACAAAUGAUAUCCAUGAUUAUAAUAUAACUAGGGCGGACUGAUUUC